rnacentral:rRNA from 1 species
GACGAACGCUGGCGGCGUGCUUAACACAUGCAAGUCGAACGAAGUGGCGAACGGGUGAGUAAUACGUGGGUAACCUGCCCUCCUUUUUGGGAUAAGCCUUGGAAACGGGGUCUAAUACCGAAUAAAGGGGGAGGGGCUCGCGGCCUAUCAGCUUGUUGGUGGGGUGAUGGCCUACCAAGGCGGUGACGGGUAGCCGGCCUGUGGGGGUGACCGGGAAUAUGGGACGGGCGAGACGCCCCAGGGUGCCACGGGUGGCAGCAGUGGGGGAAUGGGCACAAGGGUCGAAAGGCAGAGGCGGCGACGCCGAGUGGGGGUUGAAGGCUUACGGGUUGUAAACUUCUGUCGAAAUCGAACGGGUAGGUGGAGAAGAAGCGACGGCUAACUACGUGCCAGCAGCCGCGGUAAUUC